AAGUCGGCAAAAUGGAUCCGUAACUUCGGGAAAAGGAUUGGCUCUGAGGGCUGGGCUCGGGGGUCCCAGUUCCGAACCCGUCGACUGUUGGCGGGCUGCUUGAGCUGCUAACGUGGCGAGAGCGGACCGCCUCAUGUCGGCCAGGGGACGGACUGGGAACGGCUCUUUCGGGAGCUUUCCCCGGGCGUCGAACAGCCAACUCAGAACUGGUACGGACAAGGGGAAUCCGACUGUUUAAUUGAAACAAAACAUUGCGAUGGUCCCUGCGGAUGCUAACGCAAUGUGAUUACUCACUCCUCACUCGUUGUUGUUUUCAGGUGACCAGUA
rfam:Brassica napus, WGS project CCCW01000000 data, contig: 10336